rnacentral:lncRNA from 1 species
UUGCUUUUUACCAAAACGACUUUUUAUAAAACACAAAACUUUUCCACAGGGGAAAUGCAGAUUUAGCAUUAUGCAUUUUCGUUAACAGGUUUAACAGGAUGGCCUACUACAAAUGGUGAAUAAAAUGAGAGCAAACUUGGGAAAGCAACUGCAAAGGCUCUGUAUUGGGUGGAAGACCCUGGCACGGAGGAGACUACACCAGGGGACACAGAUAUGGGAGCAAAUGACUUCAAAAUAAUGUGGUAGGAGCUCUAACAGUGGUCAGCACCGGGCACCAGAGGAGCACUGAAGAGAUUGCCUAAUCCAUCCCAGAAGGGAUGGUAUUGGAGCUGAGCCUUGACAGACGAGUGAGAAUAAAGAAGGAGAUGUGGCAAGGUGGGAGACCUGGUCCUUGCCUCUAUGGACAUAGUCUAGUGGGGA